rnacentral:rRNA from 1 species
UACGUAGGGGGCAAGUGUUGUCCGGAUUUAUUGGGCGUAAAGCGCGUGUAGGCGGCCAGAUAGGUCUGCUGUGAAAACUCGAGGCUCAACCUCGAGCUGUCGGCGGAAACCAUCUGGCUAGAGUCCGGAAGAGGAGAGUGGAAUUCCCGGUGUAGCGGUGAAAUGCGCAGAUAUCGGGAAGAACACCCGUGGCGAAGGCGGUUCUCUGGGACGGUACUGACGCUGAGACGCGAAAGCUAGGGGAGCGAACAGG